GAAGUUUUAGCUGCUCACUGGUGGAAGUAUUGACUCUAUGUAAGAAUACAUUCUUCUUCUGGGGAACGAUCUGUUCGUGGAUAUUCAAAAGAUGAACUUGAAGUUGUAGCUGCUCACUGGUGGAAGUAUUGACUCUAUGUAAGAAUACAUUCUUCUUCUGGGGAACGAUCUGUUCGUGGAUAUUCAAAAGAUGAACUUGAAGUUGUAGCUGCUCACUGGUGGAAGUAUUGACUCUAUGUAAGAAUACAUUCUUCUUCUGGGGAACGAUCUGUUCGUGGAUAUUCAAAAGAUGAACUUGAAGUUGUAGCUGCUCACUGGUGGAAGUAUUGACUCUAUGUAAGAAUACAUUCUUCUUCUGGGGAACGAUCUGUUCGUGGAUAUUCAAAAGUGAGUACACAUUGUUAUUAGAAAAGACUGUAAG